AUUGAACGCUGGCGGCAUGCCUUACACAUGCAAGUCGAACGGCAGCGCGGACUUCGGUCUGGCGGCGAGUGGCGAACGGGUGAGUAAUACAUCGGAACGUACCCUGUUGUGGGGGAUAACUAGUCGAAAGAUUAGCUAAUACCGCAUACGACCUGAGGGUGAAAGUGGGGGACCGGAAACGGCCUCAUGCAGCAGGAGCGGCCGAUGUCUGAUUAGCUAGUUGGUGGGGUAAAGGCCCACCAAGGCGACGAUCAGUAGCUGGUCUGAGAGGACGAUCAGCCACACUGGGACUGAGACACGGCCCAGACUCCUACGGGAGGCAGCAGUGGGGAAUUUUGGACAAUGGGGGCAACCCUGAUCCAGCAAUGCCGCGUGUGUGAAGAAGGCCUUCGGGUUGUAAAGCACUUUUGUCCGGAAAGAAAUCGCGCUGGUUAAUACCUGGCGUGGAUGACGGUACCGGAAGAAGAAGCACCGGCUAACUACGU
rnacentral:rRNA from 1 species